AGAAGCAAUGAAUGUCCUGUCCUUGGCCUGUGGGAGAGCUGCCUGGGGCCUUCCGAAGCCCUCUGGCCUAAUGGUUUCCUCUUCAAAGCCUCUUCAGAUAUUUUAAUUAGCAACAGAGGCGGGUUUUUUUUUUAUGUGGCCACAGGCCUCUGCAGAGGCCUGGGUUGGAGGUGAACCUCUUCCCGACUGCUCUGGUGCACUUUGGAGCCGAGGAGCCGGCAGGUGUCUACCUGGAGCCUGGCCUGCUGGAGCAUGCCAUCUCCCCAUCUGCGGCCGACGUGCUGGUGGCCAGGUAAGUGCCGGUGGGUCUGGGGGCACCUCCCGUGGCGGCACUCACCACUCUGUGUCUUCGCCUCCCCACAGGUACAUGUCCAGGGCUGCCAGGUCCCCUUCCCCAUUGCCAGCCCCUGACCCUGCACCUGAGUCUGAGCCAGCUGCUGAGGACGGGGCGCUGGUCCCCCCAGAGCCCAUCCCAGGGACGGCCCAGCCCGUGAAGAGGAGCCUGGGCAAGCCAGCAAGAGGUGAGAGCUGCCAGCCCGAGGUGCCCACUCUGCCAGCCACAGGACCACCUCCCCUGCCAGCAGGAAUAAAGACUUGUGCAUCC
rnacentral:sRNA from 1 species